CCUACGGGUGGCAGCAGUGGGGAAUAUUGGACAAUGGGCGAAAGCCUGAUCCAGCCAUGCCGCGUGUGUGAAGAAGGCCUUCGGGUUGUAAAGCACUUUCAGUGGGGAAGAAAGCCUUGGGGCUAAUACCCUCGAGGAAGGACAUCACCCACAGAAGAAGCACCGGCUAACUCCGUGCCAGCAGCCGCGGUAAUACGGAGGGUGCGAGCGUUAAUCGGAAUUACUGGGCGUAAAGCGCGCGUAGGCGGUCUGAUAAGCCGGUUGUGAAAGCCCCGGGCUCAACCUGGGAACGGCAUCCGGAACUGUCAGGCUAGAGUGCAGGAGAGGAAGGUAGAAUUCCCGGUGUAGCGGUGAAAUGCGUAGAGAUCGGGAGGAAUACCAGUGGCGAAGGCGGCCUUCUGGACUGACACUGACGCUGAGGUGCGAAAGCGUGGGUAGCAAACAGGAUUAAUACCCCAGUAGU
rnacentral:rRNA from 1 species